CCGCAGUUCACAGCCUUGUGACUAGAAACGGUCCCCAAAACAAGAAUCAGACAAACCAGAAAAGCCCAGAUGGUAGUCCUUGAGAUGAAGGAACUAAGCAGCUGGUUGAGAUGGCACCAAGGGGAAAGGUUGCUCUUUUUGUCUGCCACUCUACUCCUUUCUUCCUGGACGCCUUAGGGGUUCGUCAUGGAGAUUUGAAAUAAAGUUCACAAAAGUCAUAUGUGUUGAAUCAAGAUUUUGCAUUUAACCAUCUCUCAAAAAGGAAGAGAGCUUCGCCUGCACAUGUUUCUUUCAAAAACGUCAACUGCUUUUCAUUCUGGGGUUUCUCUCUUGCCUUGUUCAAGUAGCCUUAAGAGUAAAAAUCAACGAAAACUACAUAAAGAUUCAAAGAUACCAACAAAGGACAGCUUCUGUUUCUGAAAUCAUCUUUGCAUUUAGUAGAACACGAGCUCUAUUCUUUGUAUUUUGCCUAGGGAAUUAGCAAUGUCCUGGUUCAGAUGGCAAGGCAUCCGUCUGCGGGAGACUGGGGUUUGAUCCCUGGGUCGGGAAGAUCCCCCCGGAGAAGGAAAUGGCAACCCACUCCAGUAUCCUCGCCUGGGAAAUGCCACGGACAGAGGAGCCUGAUAGGCCGCAGUCCAUGGGUUGUAUCAAAGUUGGGCUCAACCCAGCAACUACGAACAGAAGUAUUUCCAAAGACCACACUCAAGUGUGUGUGCGUGUGUGUGUGUGUGUGUGUGUGUGUGUGUGUGUGUGUAUCUCCUCUCGCCGUCUUGGAGUCUGUCUCGGAAUCUUCAUGUAUUUCUGCCUCUGUAUCUCCUGACAGCCGGCCGCCGGCCCGUUCGUCUGGCCCUGGCCUCUGCCAGGUGCUCUGGCUCUGGCUGAGGAGCUUGCGCAGGCCAGCUGUCUCCCUUGGCAUGGGUGCGUGCCAGUGUCUGUGUGUCUGUCUGUGUGCUUGCCUGUGGCUCAUCUGCUCUCUCAGGAAGGUCGAGUGCUUGGCGGGCGGCGUGGGGGAAAAGGGGGGCCUUGGUAGUGUGAAGGGGCGGGGCUGAGGCAC
rnacentral:lncRNA from 1 species